UAGAUACCCUGGUAGUCCACGCCGUAAACGAUGAGUGCUAAGUGUUAGAGGGGUCACACCCUUUAGUGCUGCAGCUAACGCGAUAAGCACUCCGCCUGGGGAGUACGGCCGCAAGGCUGAAACUCAAAGGAAUUGACGGGGGCCCGCACAAGCGGUGGAGCAUGUGGUUUAAUUCGAAGCAACGCGAAGAACCUUACCAGGUCUUGACAUCCCCUGACAACCCAAGAGAUUGGGCGUUCCCCCUUCGGGG
rnacentral:rRNA from 1 species